AUACGGAGGGUGCAAGCGUUAAUCGGAAUUACUGGGCGUAAAGCGCACGUAGGCGGUUUGUUAAGUUGGAUGUGAAAGCCCCGGGCUCAACCUGGGAAUUGCAUUCAAGACUGGCAAGCUAGAGUAUGUGAGAGGGGGGUAGAAUUCCACGUGUAGCGGUGAAAUGCGUAGAGAUUUGGAGGAAUACCAGUGGCGAAGGCGGCCCCCUGGCACAAUACUGACGCUCAGGUGCGAAAGCGUGGGGAGCAAACAGGAUUAGAUACCCUGGUAGUCCACGCCGUAAACGAUGUCUACUAGCUGUUCGUGGUCUUGUACUGUGAGUAGCGCAGCUAACGCACUAAGUAGACCGCCUGGGGAGUACGGUCGCAAGAUUAAA
rnacentral:rRNA from 1 species